AGCAGCAGCCCCCCGCUCCGGUCCUUCCUGGCUCUGAUUCCGAGGAAGAGGAGGAGGAAGAUGAGCCGGAGGAGGAAGAUGAGCCGGAGGCUGCUGCUGAAGAGGGUGGACAAACAGAGACACCUUUCCUCUCCCCCUCAGAAGAAGAAGAAGAAGGAGGAGGAGGAGGACACAGGCGGUGAGGAGGUUAGUGUAGAAUCAUUGAGCACAUGUGGUCAUGUGGCAGAGGUGUUAUUGAUGUUUUGUUUUGGUUUUCCAGGAAAAUGAACAGUGUAAGUGGUCGCAUGAGCAACGGGAGCUAUUCCGUACCAUGCGGCCAUAUUUUACAGGCCGGAGCAAAGGUUCCCUCAUACAGGCCAUUGAGUUUGGCACCUCCAUGAAUGUAUACAUGGAGGAGUAUGCCACAUUCACGUUCUGCCCAGAGGGAACACAGAAAAUUAAAGAGAAUGCCCAAACGAAGGUCAGCCAGGCAAAGGUUUUUGUUAAAUACCUUUGCCUCGGCUGGCCUUCCAUGACGCUGUGGGACUGGAUGUUCCUGUUCAAUGUCCCACUC